GUUCUGUUUCUGGACUGAAAAGGAUGAAGCAAGCAAGAAAAAAAAAAAAACAGAGCAAGAGAGAGAGAGAGAGAGCUAUGUUGCAUAGCUAGAGCAGAAUCGAGGGGAAACGGGAGGAAACCGAUGCCAUCCGUUUCUGUUUCGCUCCUCAGACUCCCUUCUUCAAGCGAAGUUCGGGAAGUUCUCUCGUCCCUCCAUUGAUGGGGUGAAGGCUAAAAUCAUUAAAUGGUGAUUUUAGAAGAUGUAGAGGAAGAUAAUGAGGCAACAGAGGAGAUCAAAAAUCAUGCACCAGAAGGCUUUGACUCAUUAAAAUACUUUUGGCGAGUUUUCGAUAAGCUUCCGAUUGCGCGGAGGAACCACUUUUUGAUAUCGGGGAUCAGCUUGAAGAACUAAAUAGGAACCUUAGUUAUUUGAUAGAUAUCAUUUUUGUAUAGAAUGGACUUGAGAAUGUUACGACCUGAAACUUUUGUCUAGUUGGUUUAGCAAUGUAGCUUUGCUAGAAUCGUGCUUAUAUAAAUAUAUAUGUGAGAGCAUUUGUAGUAGUUGUAUGUUUUUUUGAGUUAUGGAAAACAUGUUUUAUAUGAAUAGUUUAUGUGAGAAUGAAUAUCGAGGAAAUAUAUAGGAAAUUUAGUUGAAA